UACGGGAGGCAGCAGGUGGGGAAUAUUGCACAAUGGGCGAAAGCCUGAUGCAGCUAUGCCGCGUGUAUGAAGAAGGCCUUAGGGUUGUAAAGUACUUUCAUCGGGGAAGGAAAAACAAAACUAAUAAUUUUAUUUCUUGACGUUACCCGAAAAAGAAGCACCGGCUAACUCCGUGCCAGCAGCCGCGGUAAUACGGAGGGUGCUAGCGUUAAUCAGAAUUACUGGGCGUAAAGAGCACGUAGGUGGUUUUUUAAGUCAGAUGUGAAAUCCCUGGGCUUAACCUAGGAACUGCAUUUUGAAACUGAAAUACUAGAGUAUCGUAGAGGGAGGUAGAAUUCUAGGUGUAGCGGUGAAAUGCGUAGAUAUCUGGAGGAAUACCUGUGGCGAAAGCGGCCUCCUAAACGAAUACUGACACUGAGGUGCGAAAGCGUGGGGAGCAAACAGGGAUUAGAUACC
rnacentral:rRNA from 1 species